UACGGAGGGUGCAAGCGUUAUCCGGACUCACUGGGUUUAAAGGGUGCGUAGGAGGGCAGGGAAGUCCGUGGUGAAAUCUCCGAGCUUAACUCGGAAACUGCCGUGGAUACUCUCUGUCUUGAAUCCCGUGGAGAUGAGCGGAAUAUGUCAUGUAGCGGUGAAAUGCUUAGAUAUGACAUAGAACACCAAUUGCGAAGGCAGCUCGUUACACGAAGAUUGACUCUGAGGCACGAAAGCGUGGGGAUCAAACAGG
rnacentral:rRNA from 1 species